AUGCUCCGCCUUCGGUGCUGCGUCCUCAACCACCUCCUCUCCUCUCCAGCCACUUCUCCCGCAUCCCAUCUCCACCGCCUCGUCUCCGCCGCAGCGCCCGCGCCCGCCGCCCCCCCGAACGCUACCUUCGCCGUGGAGGACUACCUCGUCGAAACCUGCGGCCUCACCCGAGCGCAGGCACUCAAGGCCUCCGCAAAGCUCCCCCACCUCAAGUCCCCCUCCAAUCCCGACGCCGUCCUCGCCUUCCUCGCCGGCCUCGGCCUCUCCGGCGCCGAUGUCGCCGCGGCCGUCGCGAGGGACCCCAGGCUCCUCUGCGCCAAACUGGAUAAAGCCCUGGCCUCCAACGUCGCGGGGCUCGCCGGCCUCGGCCUCUCGCGCUGCGAGAUCGCCCGCAUCGUCUCGCUCGCCGGCUAUUCCUUGGGCAACAAAUCCGCCGUCUCCAAGCUACACUACUACCUGCCCCUCUUCGGCUCACCCGAGAAGUUCAUCCAGGCGAUGAAGUUCAAUACCAAUCUCCUCACGUACAGCCUGGAGCGGGUCACCAAGCCCAAUGUCGCGUUCCUGCGCAAGUGCGGGCUAGGUGCUUGUGAUAUUGCCAAGCUGUGCGCCGCUCGGUCGAGGAUGCUCACCAUCAACAUAGACCGCCUCCGGGCGAUGGUGGCAUUCGCCGAAGGUCUAGGCGUACCCCGUGGCUCUAGGAUGUUCUGGCGCGCCCUGAAUGCUGUUGCAGCUCUCCGUGAGGAGAAUAUCGCCGCCAAAGUGGACAGCUUGAAGAACAUUUUCAGGUGGUCCGGUGCUGAGGUGGGCAUUGCUUUUUGUAAGGCCCCAAUGGUGUUGGCAUUGUCCAAGGACCUGCUGCAGAGCAAGUCAGACUUCCUUAUCUCUGAGGUGGGAUUGACACCAGCAUACAUUGCUCCGCGGUCGACAUUGCUCACUUUCAGCCUGGAGGGUCGGCUAAAGCCACGGUACUACGUUACAAAGUUUCUUAAGGAAAAUGGAUUGCUAGAUCAUGACCGGGACUACUAUUCUGCUGUCAUCCUGACAGAGAAGGUGUUCAUGGAGAAGUUCAUAUGCCCUCACAAGGAAGCUGCACCGCAGCUCUCUGAAGACUACGCAGUAGCUUGCAAGGGGGAAGUGCCGACUAGAUUCAGAUUUUCAGGAACAAAGAACCUGCAAUGA
rnacentral:rRNA from 1 species